UAUCAGAAAUGGAAAGCUAUAACAGGCUUAAUUUUUUGUCAGAAAUAUUAAUGCUUACAUUUUCAAUAAGGUUGGGCUUUCUGGAGCUCCUGCUUCUUCCUCGAUGUAUCUCACCGACGAUUUCGGCUUAAUCGGAAGAACAGCUCAAUAGCAUCCAGUUUCGGCAAAAUCACUGCAGCAAUCAUUCCAAUUUCAUCUGGAAGACCUUGUCUUGUAGAAUGCAGCAAGGGCAGUGAUGAAAGGAAGCCACUUCCAUACGCUUUCAUAGGUUCAGAGAAUUCCAUAUGACAAAAGCUUAAGGGCAACUUUCUCUACAACGAAACGGAGUUGAGCAAGGUUAACUCCUACAUACUCAAAAGGUUCCUUGUUUGGGGGAAUGUCUGGAACAAAGUAUAAUGAUUGGAUACACUACAUGGAGUUUCCAUACUUAUUCACAUUCUCAUUUAAAACGGUAUUAAAUUUUUCUAAAGUUGAAGUGUAUAUCUGGGCUCCCUUCCUUUCCGUAGCCCCGUUUCCCCUUGACUCGUAAUAAGCCCGUAGGGGGUCAUGCCCCUACUG